rnacentral:rRNA from 1 species
CAGCGCCACGAGUGGCAAUCAUGUAUUUGGCCUAAAGCGUCCGUAGCCGGUUCUGCAAAUCUUCUGUGAAAUUGUGCAGCUUAACUGUACAGCGUGCAGAAGGCACUACAGGACUUGGAACCGGGAGGGGUGCAGAGUAUUCCAGGGGAAGCGGUAAAAUGCUAUAAUCCCUGGAGGACUACCUAUGGCGAAGGCACUGCACCAGAACGGAUUCGACGGUGAGGGACGAAAGCCAGGGGAGCGAUCCGGAUUAGAUACCCGAGUAGUCC